GCCAGUAUGGCUUAGUGGCUAUAGCGGCUGACUUGUAAUCAGCAGGUCAAGGGUUCAAUCCCCUUUACUGGCUCCA
rnacentral:tRNA from 1 species